GUGAGGUUUGGAGUGAAACAUCUAGUUUGUUUUAGGUGCUGUAACGGUAGAAUCUCCAAACAGAACUUUUGCCUACAGCUCAAAAACACAUUUACUCUUUGAUUACUCUUUUUUCAGUAUUCACACACAGGGUAAGGUCUGGUAUGGCAUUAAAGAUUCAGAUGGAGAUGUGUAUUAAGGAGGUUCAACACAUUCACUAUCUGCACCAUCAUCAUUAUCCAUGGCAAGAUCUGAUCCAGUGUUGGCUCUGUUCUCUGAACUCCUGGUUCCUCUCUGACUGGUGCUGAUGAAGUUUGUUCCCACCGUCUCCGGCUCUCAGAAGCUCCUGGCAUCGAUGGACUGCCGUCAGCUCACUCAGGUUCACGGAUUCACCGAUAUUGUGCUCAAACCAAAGUGAAAAACUCUUUCAUUGUGAAGCUUUCUAAUGCUCUCACUUCUCUUGAAGAAUAUUUACUAGAUUUAAUGAUCAUCUACACUAAAUAAUAAUUCAGUAUUUUCAUUCACAACUGAUGAAAGUCAACAAUAAAGAUCCUGUUUUAUUCA